rnacentral:tRNA from 1 species
GGAGGGCUGGCCGAGCGGUCGAAGGCAGCAGUCUUGAAAACUGCCGAGGCGGGCAACCGUCUCCGCGGGUUCGAAUCCCGCGCCCUCCGCCA